CGCUCUAAGUUCAACACAAAUUUAGGGUAGGGCCUGCCCGGUGCGGUAAUCCGUAAACGGUGGCAGUGAGUAGCUGUUCUAAGGUAGCGCAAUAAAUUGCCCUUUAAUUGAGGGAGAGAAUGAAUGGUCUGACGUGGGGGUUGCUGUCUCCUUGGCAGUUGGUGAAAUUAAUUUCUAAGUGAGAAAGCUUAAAUGUAAUUAAAAGACGAGAAGACCCCGUAGAGCUUAAUGGGCUUGGCAAGUUCUUUUGUUGAGGCUAAAUUUUACUGGGGCAGUAGAAAAACUUAAUGAGUUUUUUCUUAUCUUAAUUAUAAAGAUCCCUUCUUAAGGAAAAGAAGAAAAAGCUACCUCGGGGAUAACAGCGUCAUUCUCCUGGCGAGGACACAUUAAUAGGAGAGUUUGCGACCUCGAUGUUGAAUCAGGGUAUCAUCCAGGUGCAGGGGCUUGGAUCGUGGGUCUGUUCGACCUUUAAAACCCUACG
rnacentral:rRNA from 1 species